GACGUAGGGCGCGAGCGUUGUCCGGAUUUAUUGGGCGUAAAGAGCUCGUAGGCGGUCUGUCGCGUCGGAUGUGAAAACCCAGGGCUCAACCCUGGGCCUGCAUUCGAUACGGGCAGACUAGAGUAUGGCAGGGGAGACUGGAAUUCCUGGUGUAGCGGUGAAAUGCGCAGAUAUCGGGAGGAACACCGGUGGCGAAGGCGGUUCUCUGGGCCUGUACUGACGCUGAGGAGCGAAAGCGUGGGGAGCAAACAGG
rnacentral:rRNA from 1 species